rnacentral:rRNA from 1 species
AACGCUGGCGGCAGGCCUAACACAUGCAAGUCGAGCGGAUGAAAGGAGCUUGCUCCUGGAUUCAGCGGCGGACGGGUGAGUAAUGCCUAGGAAUCUGCCUGGUAGUGGGGGACAACGUUUCGAAAGGAACGCUAAUACCGCAUACGUCCUACGGGAGAAAGCAGGGGACCUUCGGGCCUUGCGCUAUCAGAUGAGCCUAGGUCGGAUUAGCUAGUUGGUGAGGUAAUGGCUCACCAAGGCGACGAUCCGUAACUGGUCUGAGAGGAUGAUCAGUCACACUGGAACUGAGACACGGUCCAGACUCCUACGGGAGGCAGCAGUGGGGAAUAUUGGACAAUGGGCGAAAGCCUGAUCCAGCCAUGCCGCGUGUGUGAAGAAGGUCUUCGGAUUGUAAAGCACUUUAAGUUGGGAGGAAGGGUUGUAGAUUAAUACUCUGCAAUUUUGACGUUACCGACAGAAUAAGCACCGGCUAACUCUGUGCCAGCAGCCGCGGUAAUACAGAGGGUGCAAGCGUUAAUCGGAAUUACUGGGCGUAAAGCGCGCGUAGGUGGUUUGUUAAGUUGGAUGUGAAAUCCCCGGGCUCAACCUGGGAACUGCAUCCAAAACUGGCAAGCUAGAGUAUGGUAGAGG